AGCUGCUGCAACGCUUUACUGAACGUCUUCCUCACUGAAGCUGAAGUGAGACGUACACUGGGGUUGGGCACGGCGCUGUACUACGUACGCGACGGCGUCACCAACGACUACGCCAUGAGCUGGACGGUGCCAGUCGCUGCCGACGUCUCGACGCUGUACUUCACGUGGCAUGACUCUGCCGCCAGGCCGGUGCUCUACAACUUAGCGGUGACCGCUCACGACGCAGAGCUGGCAGCUUCUGAGGAGGUGUCCACGCAGGAAGACGGACGCAGCGACCAUCGUUCUAGUCCCUUCCCCACCACAGCCUC